GGGGCUCAGUGGAAACUCUUCUGCUUCGCGUGCAGAAGGACCCAGGUUCAACCCUUGGCUUAUCCA
rnacentral:tRNA from 1 species